rnacentral:lncRNA from 10 species
CAGUUUCUUCUCCCUUCUGGAUCCAGCGGAACUGUGUUGCACUGAAAGAACCACAGAGAGCAGAAGGGAUUCAGUAGGUUGUUACUUCCAUGGCUGCAUCCUGCCUCCAGCCUCUGGGAGAGGGGACUAUUUGUGAGAAAAGGGCUUCCCAAAUGUCUUCCUGAAGCACCCUGCUGGCAGAGGUGUAUCGUUUUCCAAAUCUUUGAGUAAACCGAAUGCUGCUCUAGGAAGAUUGCACUCCAUUGUAUUUAUCCUGCAGCUUUGUGUAACCUGUCAGCCCUGCACACCCAGCUGGUAUUUGUAUCUGGAUGAGAAGCGCAGCCUUUGGGAAGGCAGAACACUGGGGCAGAACUGGUGCCAACACCAGUCUUGGAUUGGGGUCUGUCAUUCAGGGCCUGUGAUUGAGUUUGGUACAUGCUAUGGUAUUAAGUCAAAGGAAAUCUGAGAUCUCUGAAUCAUUUACAGACACACUCCAAUUUCCUCCUGGAACAUGCAGUUGCCAUUUGGGGGCAUGGGUUGGUGAGAGGAGGGAGAAAAGGAGGGAAGAUGGGAGAGGGCACCAGGGCUGCAUGUAAAGCUCUGCCUCACACUGUCAGUUGUUUUCAGCUCACUGCAUGAACUCUGUAGAGAGGCCAGAUAAUUUCACAAAGUUUACCUUAAUUUGCAACCUACCUAGAGGAGACAUGGUCAGGCAGCUGGAUGGUGAUUCUUUUCCAGCUUGAGCUGUUGACAGAG